rnacentral:rRNA from 1 species
AGGCGUGAUGACGAGGCACUACGGUGCUGAAGCAACAAAUGCCCUGCUUCCAGGAAAAGCCUCUAAGCAUCAGGUAACAUCAAAUCGUACCCCAAACCGACACAGGUGGUCAGGUAGAGAAUACCAAGGCGCUUGAGAGAACUCGGGUGAAGGAACUAGGCAAAAUGGUGCCGUAACUUCGGGAGAAGGCACGCUGAUAUGUAGGUGAAGUCCCUCGCGGAUGGAGCUGAAAUCAGUCGAAGAUACCAGCUGGCUGCAACUGUUUAUUAAAAACACAGCACUGUGCAAACACGAAAGUGGACGUAUACGGUGUGACGCCUGCCCGGUGC